rnacentral:rRNA from 1 species
CACGCCGUAAACGCUGAUUACUAGGUGUAGGGGGUAUAGACUCCCUCUGUGCCGCAGUUAACGCAUUAAGUAAUCCACCUGGGGAGUACGGCCGCAAGGUUAAAACUCAAAGGAAUUGACGGGGGCCCGCACAAGCAGCGGAGCAUGUGGUUUAAUUCGAAGCAACGCGAAGAACCUUACCAGGGCUUGACAUCCACAGUAGGCAUUAGAGAUAGUGCUGUGCCUCGUAAGAGGAACUGUGAGACAGGUGG